ensembl:lncRNA
AUGAUUAUGGCUGCACUUAAUAAUCGUACAUUUGUUUGCCUUUUGUGGCUGUGGAUAUUGAUUGUUUGGAAAGCCGCACAAACAUUCCACGUGAUGAAAGGGCCAGGUCUGCCCGUCAUAGCGUACAGCCGGCAUGAGCUUCUUCAGUUGUGGUUUUCAGCAUCAAGUCUAUUGGAUCCUGAUGUCGAUUUACCAGAAAUCAAGCCCAGGGCAAAAGUUAGGAAGAGAGGCAGCAGAGGAGGUGUCCGGGUCAGAAACCGCCGGCGGGGACACAAACCUGUCUUACCCUCGGUUACUAUGGGGAAUAUCCGCUCUCUCGUCAACAAGGCAGAUGAAUUAACAGCUUGUUUGAAGUUCGAUCGCACGUUUCGGCAGACCAGUUUACUCUGUCUUUCUGAGACGUGGCUGUCUGACAGGAUACCUGAUUCCCAUGUGGAGAUGGAAGGUUUUGCACUUCACAGGAUGGACAGAGAUCAAGCAAGUACAGGUAAGAAGCAAGGUGGAGGUGUCUGUCUGUAUGUGAACAACCGCUGGUGUCAUACUCAACAUGUUACGGUAAAAGAAAGAGUUUGUGACCCGAAUAUCGAGCUCAUUGCAGUGAGUUGUAGACCUUACUACCUACCCAGGGAGUUCUCCCAUGUUAUUGUCAUGGUGGUGUAUAUCCCACCAUCGGGAAAUGGGAAGUGUGCCAUUGAGACAAUUUCGAGAAUCACGCAUGACUUACAGCGCUCCUCUCCAGAUGCGCUGGUUAUUUUGAACGGGGACUUUAAUCACUGCACUCUCUCCACCACCUUACCAUCUUUUAAACAAAUGGUGACGUGUCCUACGAGGGGUGACAAUGUUAUUGACUUGUUUUAUACAAAUGUUAAGGAUGGCUAUGUUGCUAAAUUGCUUCCUCCGCUGGGUAAAUCAGACCAUAACCUGAUAAACUUGACUUCCAAAUAUUCAACGGUGAUACGUAAACAGCCGAUUACGUUAAAGACUGUGCGCGUCUGUUCAGAUGAUGCUUGUGAAACACUAAAGGGGUGCUUCGAAUGCACCGACUGGUCUGUGUUUUUUGAUGGAGACAGUGAUUUGGACAGUAUCUCUGACAAAGUGACUUGUUAUAUUAAUUAUUGUGUCGAGGCUGUAAUUCCGUGUAAACAAAUCAAAAUCUUUCCCAAUAAUAAACCAUGGGUCACCAGAGAAGUUAAAGCUGCUAUUAAUAAGAAGAAAGCAGCCUUUUAUAGUGGUGAUAAAGAAAGGAUUAAAGAUGCC